GCUACCACAUCUACGGAAGGCAGCAGGCGCGUAAAUUACCCAAUCCUGAUUCAGGGAGGUAGUGACAAGAAAUAACAACUCGGGGCCUCACGGCUUACGAGAUUGCAAUGAGAACAAUUUAAAUCUCUUAGCGAGGAACAAUUGGAGGGCAAGUCUGGUGCCAGCAGCCGCGGUAAUUCCAGCUCCAAUAGCGUAUAUUAAAGUUGUUGCAGUUAAAAAGCUCGUAGUUGAAUUUCUGAUUAUGGAUGUAGCGGUUUCCGUUACAUUUGUAGUCAUCCACAUGAGAACCUUUCUCGGCCUUCACUGGUCGGUUGGGGGAUCAUGUACUUUACUUUGAAAAAAUCAGAGUGUUUCAGGCAGGCGUUUGCAUGAAUACACAAGCAUGGAAUAAUGGAAUAGGACUAGGGUCCAUUUUAUUGGUUAUUGGACCAUAGUAAUGAUUAAUAGGGACAGUUGGGGG
rnacentral:rRNA from 1 species